rnacentral:rRNA from 1 species
CCUACGGGGGGCAGCAGUAGGGAAUAUUGCUCAAUGGGGGAAACCCUGAAGCAGCAACGCCGCGUGGAGGAUGAAGGUUUUCGGAUUGUAAACUCCUUUUGUUAGAGAAGAUAAUGACGGUAUCUAACGAAUAAGCACCGGCUAACUCCGUGUCAGCAGCCGCGGUAAUACGGAGGGUGCAAGCGUUACUCGGAAUCACUGGGCGUAAAGGGCGCGUAGGCGGGAUAGCAAGUCAGAUGUGAAAUCCUAUGGCUUAACCAUAGAACUGCAUUUGAAACUGGUAUUCUAGAGUAUGGGAGAGGUAGGUGGAAUUCUUGGUGUAGGGGUAAAAUCCGUAGAGAUCAAGAAGAAUACUCAUUGCGAAGGCGACCUGCUAGAACAUAACUGACGCUGAUGCGCGAAAGCGUGGGGAGCAAACAGGAUUAGAUACCCGUGUAGUC